rnacentral:rRNA from 1 species
AGCGAACGCUGGCGGCAGGCCUAACACAUGCAAGUCGAACGAACCUUUCGGGGUUAGUGGCGGACGGGUGAGUAACACGUGGGAACGUGCCUUUAGGUUCGGAAUAACUCAGGGAAACUUGUGCUAAUACCGAAUGUGCCCUUCGGGGGAAAGAUUAAUCGCCUUUAGAGCGGCCCGCGUCUGAUUAGCUAGUUGGUUGAGGUAAUGGCUCACCAAGGCGACGAUCAGUAGCUGGUCUGAGAGGAUGAUCAGCCACAUUGGGACUGAGACACGGCCCAAACUCCUACGGGAUGCAGCAGUGGGGAAUCUUGCGCAAUGGGCGAAAGCCUGACGCAGCCAUGCCGCGUGAAUGAUGAAGGUCUUAGGAUUGUAAAAUUCUUUCACCGGGGACGAUAAUGACGGUACCCGGAGAAGAAGCCCCGGCUAACUUCGUG